rnacentral:rRNA from 1 species
AACGAACGCUGGCGGCAUGCCUAACACAUGCAAGUCGAACGAGACCUUCGGGUCUAGUGGCGCACGGGUGCGUAACGCGUGGGAAUCUGCCCUUGGGUUCGGAAUAACUCGCCGAAAGGCGUGCUAAUACCGGAUGAUGUCGUAAGACCAAAGAUUUAUCGCCCAGGGAUGAGCCCGCGUAAGAUUAGGUAGUUGGUGGGGUAACGGCUCACCAAGUCGACGAUCAGUAGCCGGACUGAGAGGUUGAACGGCCACAUUGGGACUGAGAAACGGUCCAG